GAUGAACGCUGGCGGCGUGCUUAACACAUGCAAGUCGAACGAAGCACUUUAUUUGAUUUCCUUCGGUCCUGAUUAUUUUGUGACUGAGUGGCGGACGGGUGAUUAACGCGUGGGUAACCUGCCUUGUACAGGGGGGUAACAGUUGGAAACGGCUGCUAAUACCGCAUAAGCGCACAGCAUCGCAUUAUGCAGUGUGAAAAACUCGGGGGGUAUAAGAUGGACCCGCGUUGGAUUAGCUAGUUGGUGAGGUAACGGCACACCAAGGCGACGAGCCAUAGCCGAGAGGGGAGGGUGACAGGCCACAUUGGGACUGAGCCACGGCCCAAACUCGUACGGGAGGGAGCAGUAGGGAGUAUUGCAGAAGGGGGGAAGGCCUGAUGAAGCGGCGCGGGGUGAGCGAAGAAGUAGUUCGGUAUGUAAAGCUCUAUCAGCAGGGAAGAUAGUGACGGUACCGGACAAAGAAGCACCGGCUAAAUACGUG
rnacentral:rRNA from 1 species